AUUGAACGCUGGCGGCAUGCCUUACACAUGCAAGUCGAACGGUAACAGGUUAAGCUGACGCGUGGCGAACGGGUGAGUGAUACAUCGGAACGUGCCCCGUCGUGGGGGAUAUCCCGGCGAAAGCCGGCUUAAUACCGCAUACGACCUAAGGGUGAAAGGGGGGGAUCGCAAGACCUCUCGCUAUUGGAGCUUCCGCUGUCAGAUUAGCUAGUUUGUGGGUUACAAGCUCACCAAGGCGACGAUCUGUAGCUGGUCUGAGAGGACGACCAGCCACACUGGGACUGAGACACGGCCCAGACUCCUACGGGAGGCAGCAGGGGGGAAUUUUGGACAAUGGGCGCAAGCCUGAUCCAGCCAUGCCGCGUGCGGGAAGAAGGCCUUCGGGUUGUAAACCGCUUUUGUCAGGGAAGAAAUCCUUUGGGUUAAUACCUCGGGGGGAUGACGGUACCUGAAGAAUAAGCACCGGCUAACUACGU
rnacentral:rRNA from 1 species